rnacentral:rRNA from 1 species
UACAGAGGUGGCAAGCGUUGUUCGGAAUUACUGGGCGUAAAGGGCGCGCAGGCGGUCGUUCAAGUCGAGUGUGAAAGCCCCCGGCUCAACUGGGGAGGGUCAUUCGAUACUGAUCGACUCGAAGGCAGGAGAGGGAAGUGGAAUUCCCGGUGUAGUGGUGAAAUGCGUAGAUAUCGGGAGGAACACCAGUGGCGAAGGCGACUUCCUGGCCUGUUCUUGACGCUGAGGCGCGAAAGCUAGGGGAGCAAACGGG